AUUGAACGCUGGCGGCAGGCCUAACACAUGCAAGUCGAGCGGAUGAAGGGAGCUUGCUCCUGGAUUCAGCGGCGGACGGGUGGGUAAUGCCUAGGAAUCUGCCUGGUAGUGGGGGAUGACGUCCGGAAACGGGCGCUGAUACCGCAUACGUCCUGAGGGUGAAAGUGGGGGAUCUUCGGACCUCACGCUAUCUGAUGAGCCUAGGUCGGAUUAGCUAGUUGGUGGGGUAAGGGCCUACCAAGGCGACGAUCCGUAGCUGGUCUGAGAGGAUGAUCAGUCACACUGGAACUGAGACACGGUCCAGACUCCUACGGGAGGCAGCAGUGGGGAAUAUUGGACAAUGGGCGAAAGCCUGAUCCAGCCAUGCCGCGUGAGUGAAGAAGGUCUUCGGAUUGUAAAGCACUUUAAGUUGGGAGGAAGGGCAGUAAGUUAAUACCUUGCUGUUUUGACGUUACCAACAGAAUAAGCACCGGCUAACUUCGUG
rnacentral:rRNA from 1 species